rnacentral:lncRNA from 1 species
AAUCCUAGUCACCUGGGUCUCUCUGAGCUCUGAUUUCUGUCUCUUCCACUCAUCAAGAUAACUGGCUCCGGUUUGGGCUAGCCCUCCCUGUGCUGAGGCCUGGAAACUGCAUCCAGGCAGUCAGUGGGUGCAGCUGUGGGGCCCACCUUGUUCCCUUCUCCGUGGGAUCGCAGCCUCGCACUGCCUGUUUGGUGAGUGAAAACCCCUGUUCUUUGCAUUUUGUCCAGUUUUCUAGUUCCUUAAAGUGGGAGAAUAAAUCUUGUUGCUAUAAAUUCCAUUUUUGGCCGUAAGUGGAAAUUAUUAUUUUUUCAAUCCUAGUUUUAUAACCACCUAAUAUGUUUUGACUUGUUGAAUUUUAUGCAGUAACUCUGUCCAGUCUAAGUUAGAAAUAACAGAAAGUGAUUCUCAUUCAACCAGAAAAUCAAUUGUCUGAAUAAUCAUUUGGUAGCUCAUAAAAUUACCGUGGAAGCUGGAGAUCCAAGCUCAGAAGGUGGAAAAACAAAGGGAGGUUAAAUUUCCAGAACCUCGAAAAAAAAAUUCUGCCGCAGAACAGGCCUAUGAGUAUACAGGGUCCACCACCUUAGAUCACAGGACUCAGGUCCUGUCAUCAUUAACCAUGACUCUGGACAAUGUGUGCUGCCAGAGGCAUGGCAGCCUCAGCAUCGCUGGACACCAGGUGUGGCUGACUUGGCCAUAUUCUUUUCUUAUCUUAACAUUUUAUCUUACUGACACUUUAAAUUAUUGAUCUCCAAUAUAUUUGGGGUUUCAUCAGUUUGAAACAAACUUUUCCUAGGAACCCUCUGAAGUUCCUUGAAAGCAGCAUCUGUGGGAUCCUAGACGGCUAUGUUGUUGAGGGGAGACAAAUCACAGGCACGUGUGACUGCAGAGCUGGGUUUCAUUCCUCUUACAGAAACUUGGAAAUUUCUAGAUCCUGGAUUUGUGAAUCUGGUCUGCCAAGUUCAGCUUCUUCUUGACUCGCAUCCUCGGUCUCAGACAUGCUUUGUUUUUCUUGCUACUUCCAUCCCAUGGCAGGUCCGAGGCCUCUUGCUAAGCAGCCCUGUUUCCCGAGAAAGCUGGUUCCUUCUGUCCAUUUUGAGUAAGUAGCAGGAGGGCCUGGCUCAGGCUCACAGCUCCUGCUGCCCCUUCUGUUCCCAGAAGUCAGAAGGAUUUCCUGAAACAAAUAAAGUCAUGUUGACACAGGUGGCCUCAGUUCUCAGUCCUGAUAUUAAGCUAUGUGGUCACAAGGUCUCAAGUCUCAAGACCCAACACCAGCAAGCCUGUGGCGAUGUCUCAAGGGGAAAGAGAUGGGUCAGUGGCAGGGAGCCUCUGUGACAUGAGGUUGGGGUGAGAGCCGGUAGUGCAGGGUAGCUAGGGAAGACGGAGGUGGCAACCAGCACCUUCAAAGCCUGUCCCUCUCACCCUUCCUGCUCAGCAUGU